CCUACGGGAGGCAGCAGUGAGGAAUAUUGGUCAAUGGACGGAAGUCUGAACCAGCCAUGCCGCGUGCAGGAAGACGGCUCUAUGAGUUGUAAACUGCUUUUGUACAAGGGUAAACCUGAAUACGUGAAUUCAGCUGAAAGUACAGUAAGAAUAAGGAUCGGCGAACUCCGUGCCAGCCGACGGGGUAAUACGGAGGAGCCAAGCGUUAUACGGAUUUAUUGGGGGUAAAGGGUGCGAUGGCGGAUUGAUAAGGUAGAGGUGAAAUGUCCGAGCUUAACUCGGGAACUGCCUCUAAUACUGUUGAUCUAGUGAGUAGAUGCGGUAGGCGGAAUGUAUGGUGUAGCGGUGAAAUGCUUAGAGAUCAUACAGAACACCGAUUGCGAAGGCAGCUUACCAAUCUAUAUCUGACGUUGAGGCACGAAAGCGUGGGGAGCAAACAGGAUUAGAUACCCUUGUAGUC
rnacentral:rRNA from 1 species